UACAACUUUCAGCAACGGAUCUCUUGGCUCUCGCAUCGAUGAAGAACGCAGCGAAAUGCGAUAAGUAAUGUGAAUUGCAGAAUUCAGUGAAUCAUCGAAUCUUUGAACGCACCUUGCGCUCCUUGGUAUUCCGAGGAGCAUGCCUGUUUGAGUGUCAUUAAAUUCUCAANCUC
rnacentral:rRNA from 1 species